GUAUUGAUGGCCUGGUGGUAGAGUCACUGCCCGGCAAGCAGUAGAUGCAGGUUCAAGUCCCGCUGGUUCCA
rnacentral:tRNA from 1 species